rnacentral:rRNA from 1 species
AUCAAUAAGCGGAGGAAAAGAAACCAACCGGGAUUACCUCAGUAACGGCGAGUGAAGCGGUAACAGCUCAAAUUUGAAAUCUGGCUCCGUCGGAGUCCGAGUUGUAAUUUGUAGAAGAUGCUUUGGGUUGUAGGUCCGGCCUAAGUUCCUUGGAACAGGACGUCAUAGAGGGUGAGAAUCCCGUAUGCGGCCGCGGCCUGCGCCUGUGUAAAGCUCUUUCGACGAGUCGAGUUGUUUGGGAAUGCAGCUCAAAAUGGGUGGUAAAUUUCAUCUAAAGCUAAAUAUAGGCCAGAGACCGAUAGCGCACAAGUAGAGUGAUCGAAAGAUGAAAAGCACUUUGGAAAGAGAGUUAAACAGUACGUGAAAUUGUUGAAAGGGAAGCGCUUGCAACCAGACUUGGGCGCUGCUGAUCAGCCAGAGUUUUCUCUGAUGCACUCGACAGCGCACAGGCCAGCAUCGGUUCGGGUGGUUGGAUAAAGGCCGUAGGCACGUAGCUCCUCUCGGGGAGUGUUAUAGCCUAUGGUGCCAUGCAGCCCAGCCGGACCGAGGACCGCGCCUUCGGGCUAGGAUGCUGGCGUAAUGGUUGUAAGCGACCCGUCUUGAAACACGGACCAAGGAGUCUAACAUCUAUGCGAGUGUUUGGGCGUUAAACCCAUACGCGGAAUGAAAGUGAACGUAGGUGAGAACCCUUCUUGGGGUGCAUCAUCGACCGAUCCUGAUGUCUUCGGAUGGAUUUGAGUAAGAGCAUAGCUGUUGGGACCCGAAAGAUGGUGAACUAUGCCUGAAUAGGGUGAAGCCAGAGGAAACUCUGGUGGAGGCUCGCAGCGGUUCUGACGUGCAAAUCGAUCGUCAAAUUUGGGUAUAGGGGCGAAAGACUAAUCGAACCAUCUAGUAGCUGG